rnacentral:tRNA from 1 species
GGGGCUAUAGAUCAGUGGUAGAGCACUUGCCUUGCAUGCAUGAGGUCCUGGGUUCAAUGCCCUCCAGCGCCA